rnacentral:rRNA from 1 species
CAUGCAGUCGAGCGAAUGGAUUAAGAGCUUGCUCUUAUGAAGUUAGCGGCGGACGGGUGAGUAACACGUGGGUAACCUGCCCAUAAGACUGGGAUAACUCCGGGAAACCGGGGCUAAUACCGGAUAACAUUUUGAACUGCAUGGUUCGAAAUUGAAAGGCGGCUUCGGCUGUCACUUAUGGAUGGACCCGCGUCGCAUUAGCUAGUUGGUGAGGUAACGGCUCACCAAGGCAACGAUGCGUAGCCGACCUGAGAGGGUGAUCGGCCACACUGGGACUGAGACACGGCCCAGACUCCUACGGGAGGCAGCAGUAGGGAAUCUUCCGCAAUGGACGAAAGUCUGACGGAGCAACGCCGCGUGAGUGAUGAAGGCUUUCGGGUCGUAAAACUCUGUUGUUAGGGAAGAACAAGUGCUAGUUGAAUAAGCUGGCACCUUGACGGUACCUAACCAGAAAGCCACGGCUAACUACGUGCCAGCAGCCGCGGUAAUACGUAGGUGGCAAGCGUUAUCCGGAAUUAUUGGGCGUAAAGCGCGCGCAGGUGGUUUCUUAAGUCUGAUGUGAAAGCCCACGGCUCAACCGUGGAGGGUCAUUGGAAACUGGGAGACUUGAGUGCAGAAGAGGAAAGUGGAAUUCCAUGUGUAGCGGUGAAAUGCGUAGAGAUAUGGAGGAACACCAGUGGCGAAGGCGACUUUCUGGUCUGUAACUGACACUGAGGCGC